UAAAUAAAUAGUAGGAUAUCAACUUUGAAAAAUCGUAUUAUGCAAUUUUUCGUGUUCGCCAGUAUAAAAACAGGUUCUUAUUCUUAUUUUAAUAAUCUCAAACAUGAAGUUUGCGGUUGCAGUUUUCUUUCUUGCAUUCAUUGCUUUAACAUACGCCAGAAAUUAUAGAAAUGUUAUAGAAGAUAUAAAACAGAGAGUUGAAAAAGAUGUUUUAAGAGAUCUUGAAGAUGACAUUAGCGAGUUAGACGAUGACAUUUACGUAAAAGUUAAAGAUGCAAGACCAUAUUAUCGUUGGGUUGACACUGCCAAGGUGCUUCUUCCAUAUGUUCCCGCUGUUAUUGGAUUGCUUGGUGACGCAAAGAAGGAGUGAAGAUACUCCACUUAGAAGCCUUUAAUAUAAACUUUAUGAAGAAUAUAUAGAUUUAAUGUCUUAA